UGAGAAGAGCGGCGGACGGGUGAGUAACGCGUGGGUAACCUGCCCUGUACACACGGAUAACAUACCGAAAAGUAUGCUAAUACGGGAUAACAUAUUUUGAUGGCAUCAUCGAAAUAUCAAAGCUCCGGCGGUACAGGAUGGACCCGCGUCUGAUUAGCUAGUUGGUGAGGUAAUGGCUCACCAAGGCGACGAUCAGUAGCCGACCUGAGAGGGUGAUCGGCCACAUUGGAACUGAGACACGGUCCAAACUCCUACGGGAGGCAGCAGUGGGGAAUAUUGCACAAUGGGCGAAAGCCUGAUGCAGCAACGCCGCGUGAGCGAUGAAGGCCUUCGGGUCGUAAAGCUCUGUCCUCAAGGAAGAUAAUGACGGUACUUGAGGAGGAAGCCCCGGCUAACUACGUGCCAGCAGCCGCGGUAAUACGUAGGGGGCUAGCGUUAUCCGGAAUUACUGGGCGUAAAGGGUGCGUAGGUGGUUUUUUAAGUCAGAAGUGAAAGGCUACGGCUCAACCGUAGUAAGCUUUUGAAACUGAGAAACUUGAGUGCAGGAGAGGAGAGUAGAAUUCCUAGUGUAGCGGUGAAAUGCGUAGAUAUUAGGAGGAAUACCAGUUGCGAAGGCGGCUCUCUGGACUGUAACUGACACUGA
rnacentral:rRNA from 1 species